UACGUAGGGUGCAAGCGUUGUCCGGAAUUAUUGGGCGUAAAGAGCUCGUAGGCGGUCUGUUGCGUCGGCUGUGAAAACCCGGGGCUCAACUCCGGGCCUGCAGCCGAUACGGGCAGACUAGAGUUCGGCAGGGGAGACUGGAAUUCCUGGUGUAGCGGUGAAAUGCGUAGAUAUCAGGAGGAACACCGGUGGCGAAGGCGGCCCUCUGGACGGUGACUGACGCUGAGACGCGAAAGCGUGGGGAGCAAACAGG
rnacentral:rRNA from 1 species